rnacentral:rRNA from 1 species
UACGUAGGGGCCGAGCGUUGUCCGGAGUUAUUGGGCGUAAAGCGCGCGCAGGCGGCCUCGCGCGCCCGACGUGAAAGCCCCCGGCUUAACCGGGGAGGGUCGUUGGGGACGGCGGGGCUUGAGGGCGGGAGAGGUCGGUGGAAUUCCCGGUGUAGUGGUGAAAUGCGCAGAUAUCAGGAGGAACACCGGUGGCGAAGGCGGGAUCCUG